AAAAUAUUGUGUUAAAUUACAGACAGCAACACAGUUUAGCCAAAGACAGUACAAACUCUAUGGUAGUUCAGUUCAGACGCAAACAUCCACCUCGAUAUGCCAAGAUGGAAGCAACUACAUCUGAACGUUGAUUGGACAGCAUAAAUUCCGGCACGUUUGCCAUUGGUUCACGUAAAUGGCAAUAACAAUCGUUACACAGCGUGGGUGAAGAAAUAACUUACGAAAACAUUUUAUUUAAUAAUACUUAUAGUCCAAGAUAAUAUAUAUAUAUUUAAAACAGAAUCGUCUGACAAACGUUUUAACCUAAUUGGUGAAAAUAAGCUUCCGGUUAUACGACGUCAUUAGUGGCUUCCGCUUCCGGUAAGAACAGAAAAGUUUAAACGAAGAUUGUAGAAAGAAACCAUGCACACAUUCGACACAGGGAUCCCUCACAGUGAAGCAUGAGGAUCAGAGUACAUACAGCUGGACUGUGGAAGUCUCUUUCUCCUACCCAGUCAACAGAAAACAUGUUCACACACAUCUAUGGAAUAGUUUUCCCAUACUUCUGUAAUCUGGAUGAAGACACAAACCACCCUCUGAAGCUGCUACCAGAGUAUGUCUCUGUAGGGUCUGACAUCGCCAAGCUUCCUGAUGGCAAGGCAGACGAAUGCAAUUCUCUUUGAAACCGAAGAAUCUAUUGGAGAAGUGAACGGCGACUGAAUGUGCUUCAAGCUAAUUUUAAUAAUUUGAUAGACCUGUCCUUGUUGAUUCCCAAAUCUUUUUCCUCAAACAUUUAGUUUCCUAUCAGUCCUUGGCUUGAUGAAAUCGAUCUGAUAUUUUUUUUAUCAGAUAGUGUUGAAAGAGAAACAAUCGCAUUCAAUAAAAUCAAACUUUUUCAAUUGAGAUUGUAUUUUAAUAGACUGUGUUAUGGAUAUGCAUCCAUCACCUGUAGGGCUUGCCUUUCCUUUCCUGCUCACUGCACCCUUUACAGCACGGUCGUGUGCAAUGUUUUCAUAUGGAUGUUUUGAACGAGUUAUAGCACAUAUUUCAGUGUGAACUUUCUCUGCCGUGUCUGUGAUAAUGCCAGACGAAUGGCACAUCAUCAAACAUCGCUCUCAGGUGAGAGGGAAGCUAUCCAGAAGACUUUCACCAGGCGGAUAUAUAUGCACUUGGACAGGGUUAGAGUUGAGGCACCCCCUCUGAAACUACACUAACCAACUGUCUAGCCCUCUUGAGUUGUAGUCCUGCCAUUUUUAUAUUUGACAUUGAUGAGCUGAGUAGUGUGUCACUCAGGACCACUGUAGUGGAAAAAAUUGAUAUCAGAUGUGGAUCAACAUUUUUUUUCACCCAGUGUGCCCUUUAUCUGGAGAUAGAGGACUUGUUCACAGACAUGCAGGGUUCUCAUGGCUUUACUGGAGGAACUGACAGAGUGUAAACUGGUAAGGACCCAUCAGCCCGACUGUUGGUGGUCUAAUAUUGGCCAUGUUUCACUGGAGGUGUUCUGAUAUAGGCCUACUGUACAUUGUUUGUUUUGCUGUUACAGUAGCCUAUGUUGUUGUGCGUUCCCCACAGUUAACUAAUGCAAUUUU
ensembl:lncRNA